GCCUCCGUAGCUCAGUGGAUAGAGCACCGGACUUCUAAUCCGUUGGUCGCUGGUUCGAAUCCAGUCGGGGGCACCA
rnacentral:tRNA from 1 species